rnacentral:rRNA from 1 species
GUCCACGCAGUAAACGAUGAUAACUCGUUGUCGGCGAUACAAUGUCGGUGACUAAGCGAAAGCGAUAAGUUAUCCACCUGGGGAGUACGUUCGCAAGAAUGAAACUCAAAGGAAUUGACGGGGGCCCGCACAAGCGGAGGAACAUGUGGUUUAAUUCGAUGCAACGCGAAAACCUUACCCACCUUUGACAUGUACGGAACUCGCCAGAGAUGGCUUGGUGCUCGAAAGAGAGCCGUAACACAGGUGCUGCAUGGCUGUCGU